rnacentral:rRNA from 1 species
GUGCCAGCGCCGCGGUAAUACGAGGGGUGCUAGCGUUGUCCGGAAUCACUGGGCGUAAAGGGCGCGUAGGCGUCUUGGCAAGCCUUGAUUGAAAUCCCCCGGCUCAACCGGGGAACUGGUCAGGGAACUGCCAAGAUAGAGUUUGGUAGGGGAGAGUGGAAUUCCUGGUGUAGCGGUGAUAUGCGUAGAUAUCAGGAGGAACACCGAAAGCGAAGGCAGCUCUCUGGGCCAAUACUGACGCUGAGGCGCGAAAGCGUGGGGAGCAAACAGGAUUAGAUACCCUGGUAGUCCACGCCGUAAACGAUGAGCACUUGGUGUCGGGGGAUUCGACCCCCUCGGUGCCGUAGCUAACGUGUUAAGUGCUCCGCCUGGGGACUACGACCGCAAGGUUGAAACUCAAAGGAAUUGACGGGGGCCCGCACAAGCGGUGGAACAUGUGGUUUAAUUCGAUGCAACGCGAAGAACCUUACCUGGGCUUGACAUGUCAGUGAAAGUCCCG